AAUACAAAUCAAAGCUUCCAAUUAAACAUUUUGUUCAUAAAAGUGCACUUAGUCUUCUAUAGUAUUGGGAAUGGUUAAUGGCUCCCCUUUGCCUUCCCACCCAACCAUUUCUUUUUCUUUUUUUUGAAAUAAAUGUUAUUGAUUU